ACCAGUUUAUUUUAAUUUUUAGAAUUUUUCUUUUGCUAAGAGAAGGCUCUCUGGUGGUU
rnacentral:tRNA from 2 species